GUUUUCCUCAAACAAUUUUCUUAACCAUUUUUGUGAUCCAUGUUUUGAUUUUGUGGAUUUCGGUCUUGGAGCUCUAGCUUUCUUUGUGGAAAGGUAUGAUUUUGGGGUUUGGAAAGGUAUUCUUUUCAAUUUAACUCUUUUCCCAAAUUUCAUAUGGUUUUUGCUAUAAUCCCAACUUUGGUAUCUAUGUAAAUGCAUGUGGGUUUAAAAUCUUGCCUUAGACUUUGUAUGUUGUAAACAAACAAUUGUGAAUUUUGCAUGUACCUUUAAAAGUGUGUUGGGUACCAGAAAAGUCUUUGCAUGUACCUAGGAGUGGACUAA
rnacentral:misc_RNA from 1 species